UUAUUGGUUUCAUAGCCUUUUUAUAAUAUUGGUAUCAUAAAUAAUAUUAAACUGUAUGAGCUACUUAUCUGGACAUUUUAAUUCCAAUACUUGUAUUCUGUUUCAGACAUGCUCCAGGACCUUCAUCUACCAUACAGCCAUUUCCGAUUGUAAUAUCUGAUACAGAGGAUCUUGGUCACCAAUACGAAACAAAUCCAGUCAUGAGUCCCUAUAGUAAAUAUGCAGACCUGUGUGCCCCCUGCAUUGAGGACGAGGACGAAGAGCUGGUUGAAGUUGCUUCACCGAUUGAUUACA